rnacentral:lncRNA from 1 species
CUUCUUCUUUCUACUAAUUCAUUGCCCCUUUCUGAACAUUCUCCUUUCCUAUUAUUUUUAGGUAAAGUUUGCAAUCCAAUAUAUGCGUAGAGCCGUUUUGAAAAAGGCAAAGUUUGACAUAACCGAGUUGAACACAAUUAAGGUAUUUCUUUUGGGAAGGUGUUUUAUGUAUGAGUUUUGAUGAUAUAAGCUUUUUUUAUGUUUGAAAAUGUUCAGCAACUGAGAAAUGAACAGUGAGUGCGCAAGUGAAGAUAUUGUAGGAAAGUUUCCUAAUCUGUUUCGAGUUUUUGUGGGAUGCAUUUUCAGAAGUGAUAGUUUCAUUUUAUUUUUAGCACAAUUUUAUUUAUCAUCUUUGGUCUUUCCUUUAAGCUAAAUUUGAUGUAGGUUGCAAAGUCAUGCUUUGUCCCUGUUUUACUGGGUCAUGCUGUCGAUGAUGAUUUUAUACAGCCCCAUCAUUCGGAUCGUGUAUUUGAAGCUUACAUGGUAACUGUCUAAUUUCCCCCUCCCCCCUUCCGGAGAUUAUCUUUUUCUUCUGUUUUUCUCUACAUAUCUUAUGUGUUUGAAUGCAUUUCAAAUGUUCCUUUUCUUCUUGAAAUAGAUCCCUAGGUCUGGACCAUCAGUUCUUUAAAGCGAUGCUCUUUGAUGCUCUAUGUAUGUUCAAUCCGUUACACUUGCAUUGUUUUCUCUGAAAUUGAAUACGCUAAAGCAAUAUGUUCUCUCUUGAACAUCUAUAUAAUAUUGAUAUUGAUUUGCAAUUCUGUUGGACCUAAGAUAUCAAGCAGUUUACUUUUGUUUUUAUAUUGCUUAUCCUUGUAAGUGGUAUUUAUUGCCGUGUUUCCACAAAUGACGUAUGCCAGUAUAUCUCAUCUUGCUUCUUAUUGUGUAUAUGAACUUAAUUUUUGCAGGGAGACAAGAAUAUUAUAAAAUUUGACGGUGAUCACAACUCUCCACGCCCACAGUUCUAUUUUGAUUCUAUAAGUAUCUUCUUCAACAAUGUUUUGCAACCACCAGAGGAUGAAGCUGGGGCUGCAUUCUUUGACAUGCCACAAGAUUAUUUUGGCAAGGUAUAGUUCUAUAUCCAUUUCAUUAUUGGUUAAGUGUGAGGAAACUGCUGGAGUUAGGCUCAUAAAACUCACUGGAUUUGAACUCAUUUCCAGGGCAGUUGGAGUACAGUCCAUGAACUGGACUUCAUGGAUGAUGUCCACAAUGGUAUUACUCCUGUUCCCUUUAAUGUGCGGCUGAUGUUCCGUUUGGUCCAAUUUUUCAUCUGUUUUUUCUGAUGCUUCACGCCAUGCAAAUAUCAUGUGUGAUACAUGUUUAAUUUGUUAUCAGUUGCAGCUGCACCGACUAGUAGCACUGAAGAUGUAAUAAAUCAGGUUCGCUCCAAAAGACCCAUGAGUCGGACAGAGGUAACAAAAAAACCUUCCAGUUAUUGCUUUGAUAAUUGGUAAAAUAGGUGGCAUGACGCAUGAGCUCCAUUAGAUUAUGGGAGAGUUGCAGGUUUUCUAGAGGACAAACUCAUAUAAUUGAAAAUAAAUUCAUAUGCGGACACGUUUGCUUGAAUACCUUGUCCAAGCUGAAAAAGAGUAUGGGUGGAAGUGUGUAGUUACUGACUGUUGAAGACAUAAUUAAAUAUAGGUAAAACGGAUCAAAUCUACUCCUCUUACUAUGCAAAAAGGAUCAAAUUUAUCUUCUGCUGUACUAUGUACUAUCCGUAUGAAAAUACCCCCACCGUUACCUAAAUUGUUCAAAUAUAUUGUUCCUCCGUUAGGGUUGUCCAAGGUGGACACUCAAUCCAAAGUGGCACUGUCAUUUUGAUGAGGUGGACGCCAUGUGACAUUCCACUUUAGCACCCCAACCCAGUUUACCCUCCCUUCUCCUUGUUCUUCCACCAUUACCAUGCAUAUCUCUCAUUUGUGUCAACUUUAUCUUCACGAAUAACACCAUGAGGCCAAGGACGAAAGUCCAACUAACCUGGCUUAUAGCAGAGGUUAGCUCCAAUCCUAGAUAUAGAUUAUGUUGUACCUAGUACGUUGAUUCAGUUGGAAAUUUGAAAGAAAAAAAAACAAGUGUUUGAACAAAUUAACUGAGAAAGGAAAGAACGGAUUAAUCCCAAAACAUGGGAGCAGUGAGAAAAUCCAAAAACCAUUACAAAGUCGACAAAUUAGCUAUGCAGCUAAACCAAAGUGCAGAAUCAUUGAACUGUGGAUGCACUUUAGUAUCUGUAUGAAGGUUAACAUUGAUUUUUCUUGUUUCUGAUCAAGUAAUGGAAAAUGACUGAUAUUACGGAUAACAACAACAACAAACCCAAUGUAAUCCCACAAGUGGGGUAUGGGGAG